rnacentral:pre_miRNA from 1 species
GUGCAUUGCUGUUGCAUUGCACGUGAGUGACGCGGGUGCAGUGCCUCGGCAGUGCAGCC